rnacentral:rRNA from 1 species
UACAGAGGUCCCGAGCGUUGUUCGGAUUCAUUGGGCGUAAAGGGUGCGUAGGCGGCGGGGCAAGUCUGAUGUGAAAUCCCGGGGCUCAACCCCGGAACUGCAUUGGAUACUGCCUUGCUAGAGUACUGGGGAGGGAACUGGAAUUUACGGUGUAGCAGUGAAAUGCGUAGAGAUCGUAAGGAAGGCCAGUGGCGAAGGCGAGUUCCUGGACAGUUACUGACGCUGAGGCACGAAGGCCAGGGGAGCAAACGGG